rnacentral:rRNA from 1 species
CUGCAACUCGCCUGCAUGAAGUCGGAAUUGCUAGCAAUCGCAGAUCAGCAUGCUGUGGUGAAUACGUUCCCGGGCCUUGUACACACCGCCCGUCACACCAUGGGAGUCGGUAACACCCAAAGUUGGUAGUCUAACCGCAAGGAGGACGCCGCCUAAGGUGGGAUUGAUGACUGGGGUGAAGUCGUAACAAGGUAGC